rnacentral:rRNA from 1 species
GACGAACGCUGGCGGCGUGCUUAACACAUGCAAGUCGAACGGUAAGGCCCUUCGGGGUACACGAGCGGCGAACGGGUGAGUAACACGUGGGUGAUCUGCCCUGCACUUCGGGAUAAGCCUGGGAAACUGGGCCUAAUACCGGAUAGGACCACUGCCUGCAUGGGUGGUGGUGGAAAGCUUUUGCGGUGUGGGAUGGGCCCGCGGCCUAUCAGCUUGUUGGUGGGGUGAUGGCCUACCAAGGCGACGACGGGUAGCCGGCCUGCGAGGGUGAACGGCCACACUGGGACGGGGAUACGGCCCAGACUCCUACGGGGGGCAGCAGUGGGGAAUAUUGCACAAUGGGCGCAAGCCUGAUGCAGCGACGCCGCGGGAGGGAUGACGGCCUUCGGGUUGUAAACCUCUUUCAGCACCGACGAAGCGCAAGUGACGGUAGGUGCAGAAGAAGGACCGGCCAACUACGUGCCAGCAGCCGCCGUAA